rnacentral:rRNA from 2 species
UCCGGUGUUUAUGACUGUAAGGGCUACACCCGUUCCCAUCCCGAACACGAUGGUUAAGCCUUAUGGUGCUGAUGAUACUGCACGGGAAGCUGUGUGGAAAAGUAGGUUGACGCCGGUU